GAUGAGAGAAAAUAUAAAGUUGACUCAAAAGGAAAAAUAUACAUUUAAAGAUUAUCAUUAUAAAAUUACUUUAAAACUGCACAUGUAGCACAAAAAUUUCAGAUCUCGGUUAGUUUGUAUUUAUUAAUACCAUCAUCAAACUUUACUGGAUGUAUAAUUAAAAAUAGAUUUUGUAUGAAAACAUGUUUACACAAAAAUACGCAUGUGUAUUUCAUUAAAUAAAACUAGCGUAAACAUUUUCUUAAUAAACCCUAAUUUAAUGUUCCAAAUUAUUUUUUGCAAAUUAAGGCUCCAAGUCAAUUUAAUGUUCCAAGUUAACAUUCAUUAUUAAUUAUUAAUUAUU